UGUCAUCUAGCUCAGUCGGUAGAACAUGAGACGCUUAAUCUCAGGGUUGUGAGUUCGAGACCCAAGUUGGGCAA